GUAAAAGUAGCUUAGUGGUAGAGUUUUGGUCUCCAAAACCAAUAGUACAGGUUCGAUUCCUGUCUUUUACG
rnacentral:tRNA from 1 species